rnacentral:rRNA from 1 species
UACGUAGGGUGCGAGCGUUGUCCGGAAUUAUUGGGCGUAAAGAGCUCGUAGGCGGCUUGUCACGUCGGGUGUGAAAGCCCGGGGCUUAACCCCGGGUCUGCAUUCGAUACGGGCUAGCUAGAGUGUGGUAGGGGGAGAUCGGAAUUCCUGGUGUAGCGGUGAAAUGCGCAGAUAUCAGGAGGAACACCGGUGGCGAAGGCGGAUCUCUGGGCCAUUACUGACGCUGAGGAGCGAAAGCGUGGGGAGCGAACAGG